rnacentral:lncRNA from 1 species
AGGUUCUAAUGAUCUUGUGGUCCUAGUACAGAUUUUAUUUUGUAUACACUAAAGAACACUGCACUAGAGCACCCAAUUAGCCAAAAAAAAAACAAAAAUUAAAAAAAAUAAAAAUAAAAUAAUAAAAAAAAUAAAAUAAAGUCUAACUGGUUAAGAAUGACACAAAAGUAUAGUUUAAACCACGAGUCCUCGACAACAGCGCGAAGAACUUGUUAAAACCUCGACAAGUGUACCAAAUCAUAUCAACCAAUAUAAAAUGGUAAUAUCAAGUAUC